AUGGCCUCUUCGGCCCCUGCUCCCGCGCCUCCUCCUAUUCUACCAAGGGAAGCCAUGGAGCAGGAACAACAUGUGUGGAAUGCUAUCGAUGAGGAACGGAAAUUAGAAAGGCAGAAGGGAAAACGAAGGCAUAAGGAGAGAAAGAAAAGCCUGGAAGAGAAGAGGAACGAGAAGAGAGAAGAGAAGAGGAAGAAGCAAGAGAAGAAGAGGAAAAACCAGGAGGAGGAGGAGGAGUUGCAGGGGAAGAGGAAACAUGCUCGUUCAAUGAACUGUUUUGAAUUUGAUCAAGGAGCUACAACAGAGGGGCUACAGAGACGAGAUUCUCCACCUAUGACACAUAGUCAAAGAGCGACAAGAUCACCAUUGGUAAGGUCACCGGUGGCGAGCACGUGGAGAUCUUCCCUUGGUCUUCUAGCAAGAGUUGCAGCCUCAAAAAGGGGCAGGUCUCCCUCAACGAGGAUUGCAAGUUCCCCAUUGGAGGAGAGGGCAAAUUCGUCCGCGAGAUCACCAUCUAUCUUAGGAUCCCCUUCUCCAGUGACUACUCCAUUUGGAGGCUCAAAAAUUAAUCAUCCACAUGUCCGCAAGACAAGAAGGCUAACUUCUGCUGUUUGGAGGGAUUUCAAACCAAUUUAUCGUCAUAAGAUACUUGUCAAAGCUCAGUGCAAGCACUGUCAUGAAGUGUUUCAAGCUGGACGAGAUGUUGGCACAAGUGGUGUAAGAAGACACUUGGCUGCUUGUGAAAAAAGGUCAGAUUUACACCUCUACGUUGAGAAGAUGAAGUCCUCGGUUUCAUCUCCUGAUGCCUCUAUGCUUAAGCAAUGGAACUUUGAUCAAGAAACAUCUAGAGAUUUGCUUGCCAGAAUGAUAGUAAUGCAUGAGUUGCCUUUCUCAAUAGUUGAGUAUAGUGGUUUUAGAGACUUCGUGAAAAGUUUGAAUCCCUUGUUCAAAAAUGUUUCUAGAAAUACUAUUAAAGAUGAGUGCAUGAAACACUAUAAUUUGGAGAGGUCGGCGUUCUCUGGACAUUUGAAGAAAUACAGUGGUAGAGCUUCUUUAACAGCGGACAUGUGGACAUCUAAUCAGACUUUGUCCUAUCUAUACAUCACUUGCCAUUUGAUCAACAGCAAGUGGAUUUUGCAAAAGAGGAUCUUCAGAUUUUUUAUGGUGGAGACUCCACAUAACGGAGUAACAAUGUUUAAUGUCUUAUUAAAGAGUUUGCAGGAGUGUAAUAUUGAGGACAAACUCUUUAGUAUGACAUUGGAUAAUGCAUCAGUUAAUGGUACAAUGGUCAAUAAUCUUAGAAAAAAUCUGAACAGCAAGCAUAUGUUGCCUAUUAAAGGUCAAUUACUUCAUAUCCGUUGUGCAUGCCAUGUGAUAAAUUUGAUUGUCCAAGAUGGGUUGACAACGAUGAAAGGUGUGAUAGAUGAUAUCAGAGAGAGUGUGAAGUACAUUAAGAGUUCUCCCUCUCGGUUGGACAAGUUCAAAGAAGUAGUUGCGCAAGUUGGUAUCUCUUGCAAACUCCCCUCGGCUGAUGUGCUAACACAUUGGAACUCCACCUAUAUUAUGUUGGAGUCAGCGCUCCCCUUUCGAAGAGCCUUUCGUGCUUUGGUGCAAAAGGACCCGGAUUAUGUGUUUUGCCCAUCCUUAGGAGAGUGGAAAAAUGCUGAUACAGUUUGUGCUAUGUUAAAAGUUUUUCACACAGCCACAAAUGUACUUUUUGGUUCAAGUUAUUCUACCUCAAAUUUGUACUUUCAUCAAAUCUGGAAUGUGAGGUUAUUGCUGCAGAAGGAAGCUUCAACAAAGGAUGAAGUCGUUCAAGCAAUGGUUGGAGAGAUGCAAAUUUUUUUUGAUAAUUAUUGA
rnacentral:rRNA from 1 species